rnacentral:rRNA from 1 species
UAGCUCACUGGUCUAGUGAUUCCGCGCCGACAAUGUAGCGGGGCUCAAGCGUACCGCCGAAGUCGUGUCAUUGCAGCUAUAGGGCCAACGCCUGCUGUGAUGGGUAGGGGAGCGUCGUCUGCCGGGUGAAGCAGCCGUGUAAGCGAGUUGUGGACGGUUGACGAGUGAGAAUGCAGGCAUGAGUAGCGAUACACACGUGGGAAACGUGUGCGCCGAUUGACUAAGGGUUCCUGGGUCAAGCUGAUCUGCCCAGGGUAAGUCGGGACCUAAGGCGAGGCCGACAGGCGUAGUCGAUGGAUAACCGGUUGAUAUUCCGGUACCCGCUGUGAAGCGUCAAACAUCGAGCAUCGUGAUGCUAAGGCCGUGAAGCCGUUCCGGACCCUUCGGGGGAUGGAAAGUGGUGGAGCCGCCGGCCCAAGCGNNNNNNNNNNNNNNNNNNNNNNNNNNNNNGUUAGUAGGUGAGUGAUGGGGUGACGCAGGAAGGUAGUCCAUCCCGGGCGGUGGUUGUCCCGGGGUAAGGGUGUAGGACGUCAGGUAGGUAAAUCCGCCUGGCAAUAGUCUGAGACCUGAUGCCGAGCCGAUUGUGGUGAAGUGGAUGAUCCUAUGCUGUCGAGAAAAGCCUCUAGCGAGUUUCAUGGCGGCCCGUACCCUAAACCGACUCAGGUGGUCAGGUAGAGAAUACCGAGGCGUUCGGGUGAACUAUGGUUAAGGAACUCGGCAAAAUGCCCCCGUAACUUCGGGAGAAGGGGGGCCACGUCUGGUGAUGAUCUUUACGGUCUGAGCUGGGUGUGGCCGCAGAGACCAGCGAGAAGCGACUGUUUACUAAAAACACAGGUCCGUGCGAAGCCGUAAGGCGAUGUAUACGGACUGACGCCUGCCCGGUGCUGGAACGUUAAGGGGACCGGUUAGCUCCAUUUCGGUGGGGCGAAGCUGAGAACUUAAGCGCCAGUAAACGGCGGUGGUAACUAUAACCAUCCUAAGGUAGCGAAAUUCCUUGUCGGGUAAGUUCCGACCUGCACGAAUGGCGUAACGACUUCUCGACUGUCUCAACCAUAGGCCCGGUGAAAUUGCACUACGAGUAAAGAUGCUCGUUUCGCGCAGCAGGACGGAAAGACCCCGGGACCUUUACUACAGUUUGAUAUUGGUGUUCGGUUCGGCUUGUGUAGGAUAGCUGGGAGACUGUGAACUCUGGACGCCAGUUCAGGGGGAGUCGUCGUUGAAAUACCAGUCUGGUCGUGCUGGAUGUCUAACCUGGGUCCGUGAUCCGGAUCAGGGACAGUGUCUGAUGGGUAGUUUAACUGGGGCGGUUGCCUCCUAAAGAGUAACGGAGGCGCCCAAAGGUUCCCUCAGCCUGGUUGGUAAUCAGGUGUUGAGUGUAAGUGCACAAGGGAGCUUGACUGUGAGACCGACGGGUCGAGCAGGGACGAAAGUCGGGACUAGUGAUCCGGCGGUGGCUUGUGGAAGCGCCGUCGCUCAACGGAUAAAAGGUACCCCGGGGAUAACAGGCUGAUCUUCCCCAAGAGUCCAUAUCGACGGGAUGGUUUGGCACCUCGAUGUCGGCUCGUCGCAUCCUGGGGCUGGAGUCGGUCCCAAGGGUUGGGCUGUUCGCCCAUUAAAGCGGUACGCGAGCUGGGUUUAGAACGUCGUGAGACAGUUCGGUCCCUAUCCGCUGUGCGCGUAGGAGUCUUGAGAAGGGCUGUCCCUAGUACGAGAGGACCGGGACGGACGAACCUCUGGUGUGCCAGUUGUUCUGCCAAGGGCAUGGCUGGUUGGCUACGUUCGGGAGGGAUAACCGCUGAAAGCAUCUAAGCGGGAAGCCUGCUUCGAGAUGAGGACUCCCACCCCCUUUGAGGGGUUAAGGCUCCCAGUAGACGACUGGGUUGAUAGGCCAGAUCUGGAAGCGCCGUGAGGUGUGGAGGUGACUGGUACUAAUAGGCCGAGGGCUUGUCC